AAUGGUCAUCAUCAGGUGCUGAUUAAAGUUUUUGAAGCUCCGCCCACUGCACAAUGAAGUCAUCAGUUUCCAUGGUGACAGAAGCUCCGCUCUCAUCUCCUCUUCUGUCACUGAGGAGUCCUGAGCUCCAGGCCGAGUUCCUGAGAGAGUUUCAGAGGAAAUUUCAGAGUCCCAGUGAAGUCAAGGAAUCCACAGUCAACUCCUCCCCCCACUGUCUCACCCCUUCAUCCUCCUCAAGCCCCUCCCCCCACUGUCUCACUCCAUCCUCCUCAAG